AAAUUGAAGAGUUUGAUCAUGGCUCAGAUUGAACGCUGGCGGCAGGCCUAACACAUGCAAGUCGAACGGUAACAGGAAGAAGCUUGCUGCUUUGCUGACGAGUGGCGGACGGGUGAGUAAUGUCUGGGAAAC
rnacentral:rRNA from 1 species